CCAUUUACCCAUAGAGGUGCAGGCCCGUAAACGUUAAUGAUUACUAGAUGAUGUUUCCAAAGAGUUCGUGUUGCUUGAUAGUGCAGCACUAAGUGGGUGCGUAAACUCCAUCUAAAACUAAAUAUAACAUGAGACGAUAGUAACAAGUACCGUGAGGGAAAAUUGAAAAAGAACUCUGAAUAGAGAGUUAACAGUACGUGAAACUGCUUAGAGGUUAAGCCCGAUGAACCUGAAUAUCCGUUAUGGAAAAUUCAUCAUUAAAAUUGUAUAUUUAAAUAAUAUUAUGAGAAUAGUGUGCAUUUUUUCCAUAUAAGGACAUUGUAAUCUAUUAGCAUAUACCAAAUUUAUCAUAAAAAUAUAACUUAUAGUUUAUUCCAAUUAAAUUGCUUGCAUUUUAACACAGAAUAAAUGUUAUUAAUUUGAUAAAGUGCUGAUAGAUUUAUAUGAUUACAGUGCGUUAAUUUUCGAAUUAUAUUAAUGGCAUAAUUAUCAUUGAUUUUUUGUUUAUUAUAUGCACUUGUAUGAUUAACAAUGCGAAGAUUCAGGAUACCUUCGGGACCCGUCUUGAAACACGGACCAAGGAGUCUAACAUAUGUGCAAGUUAUUGGGAUAUAAACCUAAUAGCGUAAUUAACUUGACUAAUAAUGGAUUAGUUUUUUAGCUAUUUAUAGCUAAUUAACACAUCCCGGGGGCGUUCUAUAUAGUUAUGUAUAAUGUAUAUUUAUAUUAUUUAUGCUCUAACUGGAACGUACCUUGAGCAUAUAUGCUGUGACCGAAAGAUGGUGAACUAUACUUGAUCAGGUUGAAGUCAGGGAAACCCUGAUGGAAGACCGAAACAGUUCUGACGUGCAAAUCGAUUGUCAGAAUUGAGUAUAGGGCGAAAGACCAAUCGAACCAUCCUUCCGAAGUUUCCCUCAGGAUAGCUGGUGCAUUUUAAUAUUAUAUAAAAUAAUCUUAUCUGGUAAAGCGAAUGAUUAGAGGCCUUAGGUCGAAACGAUCUUAACCUAUUCUCAAACUUUAAAUGGGUAAGAACCUUAACUUUCUUGAUAUGAAGUUCAAGGUUAUGAUAUAAUGUGCCCAGUGGGCCACUUUUGGUAACAGAACUGGCGCUGUGGGAUGAACCAAACGUAAUGUUACGGUGCCCAAAUUAACAACUCAUGCAGAUACCAUGAAAGGCGUUGGUUGCUUAAAACAGCAGGACGGUGAUCAUGGAAGUCGAAAUCCGCUAAGGAGUGUGUAACAACUCACCUGCCGAAGCAACUAGCCUUAAAAUGGAUGGCGCUUAAGUUGUAUACCUAUACAUUACCGCUAAAGUAGAUGAUUUAUAUUACUUGUGAUAUAAAUUUUGAAACUUUAGUGAGUAGGAAGGUCAAUGGUAUGCGUAGAAGUGUUUGGGCGUAAGCCUGCAUGGAGCUGCCAUUGGUACAGAUCUUGGUGGUAGUAGCAAAUAAUCGAAUGAGACCUUGGAGGACUGAAGUGGAGAAGGGUUUCGUGUGAACAGUGGUUGAUCACAGAGUUAGUCGGUCCUAAGUUCAAGGCGAAAGCCGAAAAUUUUCAAGUAAAACAAAAAUGCCUAACUAUAUAACAAAGCGAAUUAUAAUACACUUGAAUAAUUUUGAACGAAAGGGAAUACGGUUCCAAUUCCGUAACCUGUUGAGUAUCCGUUUGUUAUUAAAUAUGGGCCUCGUGCUCAUCCUGGCAACAGGAACGACCAUAAAGAAGCCGUCGAGAGAUAUCGGAAGAGUUUUCUUUUCUGUUUUAUAGCCGUACUACCAUGGAAGUCUUUCGCAGAGAGAUAUGGUAGAUGGGCUAGAAGAGCAUGACAUAUACUGUUGUGUCGAUAUUUUCUCCUCGGACCUUGAAAAUUUAUGGUGGGGACACGCAAACUUCUCAACAGGCCGUACCAAUAUCCGCAGCUGGUCUCCAAGGUGAAGAGUCUCUAGUCGAUAGAAUAAUGUAGGUAAGGGAAGUCGGCAAAUUAGAUCCGUAACUUCGGGAUAAGGAUUGGCUCUGAAGAUUGAGAUAGUCGGGCUUGAUUGGGAAACAAUAACAUGGUUUAUGUGCUCGUUCUGGGUAAAUAGAGUUUCUAGCAUUUAUGUUAGUUACUUGUUCCCCGGAUAGUUUAGUUACGUAGCCAAUUGUGGAACUUUCUUGCUAAAAUUUUUAAGAAUACUAUUUGGGUUAAACCAAUUAGUUCUUAUUAAUUAUAACGAUUAUCAAUUAACAAUCAAUUCAGAACUGGCACGGACUUGGGAAUCCGACUGUCUAAUUAAACAAAGCAUUGUGAUGGCCCUAGCGGGUGUUGACACAAUGUGAUUUCUGCCCAGUGCUCUGAAUGUCAAAGUGAAGAAAUUCAAGUAAGCGCGGGUCAACGGCGGGAGUAACUAUGACUCUCUUAAGGUAGCCAAAUGCCUCGUCAUCUAAUUAGUGACGCGCAUGAAUGGAUUAACGAGAUUCCUACUGUCCCUAUCUACUAUCUAGCGAAACCACAGCCAAGGGAACGGGCUUGGAAUAAUUAGCGGGGAAAGAAGACCCUUUUGAGCUUGACUCUAAUCUGGCAGUGUAAGGAGACAUAAGAGGUGUAGAAUAAGUGGGAGAUAUUAGACCUCGGUUUGGUAUCGUCAAUGAAAUACCACUACUCUUAUUGUUUCCUUACUUACUUGAUUAAAUGGAACGUGUAUCAUUUCCUAGCCAUUAUACGGAUAUAUUUAUUAUAUCUUAUGGUAUUGGGUUUUGAUGCAAGCUUCUUGAUCAAAGUAUCACGAGUUUGUUAUAUAAUCGCAAACAAAUUCUUUAAUAAAACGAUGCAUUUAUGUAUUUUUGAUUUGAAAAUUUGGUAUAACUCCAAUUACUCAGGUAUGAUCCAAUUCAAGGACAUUGCCAGGUAGGGAGUUUGACUGGGGCGGUACAUCUCUCAAAUAAUAACGGAGGUGUCCCAAGGCCAGCUCAGUGCGGACAGAAACCACACAUAGAGCAAAAGGGCAAAUGCUGACUUGAUCUCGGUGUUCAGUACACACAGGACAGCAAAAGCUCGGCCUAUCGAUCCUUUUGGUUUAAAGAGUUUUUAACAAGAGGUGUCAGAAAAGUUACCAUAGGGAUAACUGGCUUGUGGCGGCCAAGCGUUCAUAGCGACGUCGCUUUUUGAUCCUUCGAUGUCGGCUCUUCCUAUCAUUGUGAAGCAAAAUUCACCAAGCGUUGGAUUGUUCACCCAUGCAAGGGAACGUGAGCUGGGUUUAGACCGUCGUGAGACAGGUUAGUUUUACCCUACUAAUGACAAAACGUUGUUGCGACAGCAUUCCUGCGUAGUACGAGAGGAACCGCAGGUACGGACCAAUGGCACAAUACUUGUUCGAGCGAACAGUGGUAUGACGCUACGUCCGUUGGAUUAUGCCUGAACGCCUCUAAGGUCGUAUCCGUGCUGGACUGCAAUGAUAAAUAAGGGGCAAUUUGCAUUGUAUGGCUUCUAAACCAUUUAAAGUUUAUAAUUUACUUUAUAAACGACAAUGGAUGUGAUGCCAAUGUAAUUUGUAACAUAGUAAAUUGGGAGGAUCUUCGAUCACCUGAUGCCGCGCUAGUUACAUAUAAAGCAUUAUUU
rnacentral:rRNA from 1 species